rnacentral:rRNA from 1 species
GAUGAACGCUGGCGGCGUGCCUAAUACAUGCAAGUCGAGCGAACAGACGAGGAGCUUGCUCCUCUGACGUUAGCGGCGGACGGGUGAGUAACACGUGGAUAACCUACCUAUAAGACUGGGAUAACUUAGGGAAACCGGAGCUAAUACCGGAUAAUAUAUUGAACCGCAUGGUUCAAUAGUGAAAGACGGUUUUGCUGUCACUUAUAGAUGGAUCCGCGCCGCAUUAGCUAGUUGGUAAGGUAACGGCUUACCAAGGCAACGAUGCGUAGCCGACCUGAGAGGGUGAUCGGCCACACUGGAACUGAGACACGGUCCAGACUCCUACGGGAGGCAGCAGUAGGGAAUCUUCCGCAAUGGGCGAAAGCCUGACGGAGCAACGCCGCGUGAGUGAUGAAGGUCUUCGGAUCGUAAAACUCUGUUAUUAGGGAAGAACAAAUGUGUAAGUAACUAUGCACGUCUCGACGGUACCUAAUCAGAAAGCCACGGCUAACUACGUG